CAGAAGUCGAAGGCGGACCAUCCCGACGGAUGGUCCGCCUUCGGCGUGUUGCGGCACGGCGUGGCCGAGCGAG
rnacentral:tRNA from 1 species